UACAGAGGUCCCAAGCGUUGUUCGGAUUCACUGGGCGUAAAGGGUGCGCAGGUGGGCUGGUAAGUUUGAUGUGAAAGCCCCGGGCUUAACCCGGGAAUGGCAUUGAAUACGACUGGUCUGGAGGGUUGGAGGGGGGACUGGAAUUCUUGGUGUAGCAGUGAAAUGCGUAGAUAUCAAGAGGAACACCAGUGGCGAAGGCGAGUCCCUGGACAAUACCUGACACUGAGGCACGAAAGCUAGGGGAGCAAACAGG
rnacentral:rRNA from 1 species